rnacentral:rRNA from 2 species
GGUUGAAGGUGUAUCGUAAGGUAUGCUGGACUGGUUAGAAAAGAAAAUGUAGGCAUAAGUAACGAUAAUGCGGGCGAGAAACCCGCACACCGAAAGACUAAGGUUUCCUCAGCUAUGCUAAUCAGCUGAGGGUUAGUCGGGUCCUAAGGCGAACCCGAAAGGGACAGUCGAUGGCCAACGGGUUAAUAUUCCCGUACUACUGUUAAUUGUGAUGGGGUGACGGAGUGAUGAAAGUACCGCGAACUGACGGAAUAGUUCGUUAAAGCACCUACCUAUAGGUCUUGUAGUUAAAUGCGCA